GCAAUUGUAGUCCAACGGUUUGGAUAAUUGCCUUCCAAGCAAUAGACGUGUGUUCGACUCCCAACAGACGCG
rnacentral:tRNA from 1 species